GAGGGCAUAGCUCAGUGGUAGAGCACAUGCUUAGCAUUUGUGAGGUUCUGGGUUCAAUCCCCAGUACCUCCA
rfam:Camelus ferus unplaced genomic scaffold scaffold1302, whole genome shotgun sequence.